AAAUAGAGAGAAGACAUUGUUGGAAAUGGCAGCAGAGGAGUCAAUGAGGAAACCCGUAUAGAUCAAAUGAGGAUGGAGGAGAACCAAAGUCACGUGAAUGAGAAAAUACUAAACCUCACCCUGGAGAUCAUCUAUCUGCUGACUGGAGAGAGAUUUCCUCUUCUGAAGUCAGGUGAUCAUAUGACCA